GUUUCUUAUCACUGAAUUCAUACUCUUUGACGGGAACUUUUGCUGCCUUUAGAUAGUGAAGAAAUUGAAGCUCUUCAGGCAUCAAGAAAAGUAGGGCAUUUCCUCUGCUACCUUCGCCUCGAGCUGUUCGGCCGACUCUGUGAAUAUAUUCCUUGGGUUCAUCUGGAGGAUCGUACUGCACAAUCCAAUCAACGGCGGGAAUGUCAAGUCCACGUGCAGCAACAUCAGUACAUAGUAGGAUCCCAG
rnacentral:misc_RNA from 1 species